rnacentral:rRNA from 1 species
UUGACGGGGCCGCACAAGCGGUGGAGCAUGUGGUUAAUUCGAAGCAACACGAAGAACCUUACCAGGUCUUGACAUCCCCUGACAACCCGAGAGAUCGGGCGUUCCCCCUUCGGGGGGACAGGGUGACAGGUGGUGCAUGGUUGUCGUCAGCUCGUGUCGUGAGAUGUUGGGUUAAGUCCCGCAACGAGCGCAACCCUCGACCUUAGUUGCCAGCAUUCAGUUGGGCACUCUAAGGUGACUGCCGGCUAAAAGUCGGAGGAAGGUGGGGAUGACGUCAAAUCAUCAUGCCCCUUAUGACCUGGGCUACACACGUGCUACAAUGGGCGGUACAAAGGGUCGCGAACCCGCGAGGGGGAGCCAAUCCCAAAAAGCCGCUCUCAGUUCGGAUUGCAGGCUGCAACUCGCCUGCAUGAAGCCGGAAUCGCUAGUAAUCGCGGAUCAGCAUGCCGCGGUGAAUACGUUCCCGGGCCUU